rnacentral:rRNA from 1 species
UACGAAGGGGGCUAGCGUUGUUCGGAAUUACUGGGCGUAAAGGGCGCGUAGGCGGCUGUGCAAGUCAGAUGUGAAAGCCCUGGGCUCAACCCAGGAUGUGCAUUUGAUACUGCGCGGCUAGAGUGUCGGAGAGGAUGGUGGAAUUCCCAGUGUAGAGGUGAAAUUCGUAGAUAUUGGGAAGAACACCGGUGGCGAAGGCGACCAUCUGGACGACAACUGACGCUGAGGCGCGAAAGCGUGGGGAGCAAACAGG